UGGGGAAUAUUGCACAAUGGGCGCAAGCCUGAUGCAGCCAUGCCGCGUGUAUGAAGAAGGCCUUCGGGUUGUAAAGUACUUUCAGUCGGGAGGAAGGUGGUAAGGUUAAUAACCUUAUCAAUUGACGUUACCGACAGAAGAAUCACCGGCUAACUCCGUGCCAGCAGCCGCUGUAAUACGGAGGGUGCAAGCGUUAAUCGGAAUUACUGGGCGUAAAGCGCACGUAGGCGGUUGAUUGAGUCAGAUGUGAAAUCCCCGGGCUUAACCCGGGAAUUGCAUCUGAUACUGGUCAGCUAGAGUCUCGUAGAGGGGGGUAGAAUUCCAUGUGUAGCGGUGAAAUGCGUAGAGAUGUGGAGGAAUACCGGUGGCGAAGGCGGCCCACUGGAAAAAGACUGACGCUAAGGUGCGAAAGCGUGGGGAGCAAACAGG
rnacentral:rRNA from 1 species